rnacentral:rRNA from 1 species
AGCGAACGCUGGCGGCAGGCUUAACACAUGCAAGUCGAGCGGGCAUCCUUGUGGUGUCAGCGGCAGACGGGUGAGUAACGCGUGGGAACGUGCCCUUCGGUUCGGAAUAACUCAGGGAAACUUGAGCUAAUACCGGAUACGUGCGAGAGCAGAAAGGUUUAUCUGCCGAAGGAUCGGCCCGCGUCUGAUUAGCUAGUUGGUGAGGUUAUGGCUCACCAAGGCGACGAUCAGUAGCUGGUCUGAGAGGAUGAUCAGCCACACUGGGACUGAGACACGGCCCAGACUCCUACGGGAGGCAGCAGUGGGGAAUAUUGGACAAUGGGGGCAACCCUGAUCCAGCCAUGCCGCGUGAGUGAAGACGGCCUUAGGGUUGUAAAGCUCUUUUCUCCGGGACGAUAAUGACGGUACCGGAGGAAUAAGCCCCGGCUAACUUCGUG